UACGAAGGGGGCUAGCGUUGCUCGGAAUGACUGGGCGUAAAGGGCGCGUAGGCGGCUGUGACAGUCAGAUGUGAAAUUCCUGGGCUCAACCUGGGGGCUGCAUUUGUGACUGCAUGGCUGGAGCGCGGCAGAGGGGGAUGGAAUUCCGCGUGUAGCAGUGAAAUGCGUAGAGAUGCGGAGGAACACCGAUGGCGAAGGCAGCCCCCCUGGGCUAACACUGACGCUCAGGCACGAAAGCGUGGGGAGCAAACAGG
rnacentral:rRNA from 1 species